UACGUAGGGUGCAAGCGUUAAUCGGAAUUACUGGGCGUAAAGCGUGCGCAGGCGGUUGUGUAAGACAGAUGUGAAAUCCCCGGGCUCAACCUGGGAACUGCAUUUGUGACUGCACAGCUGGAGUGCGGCAGAGGGGGAUGGAAUUCCGCGUGUAGCAGUGAAAUGCGUAGAUAUGCGGAGGAACACCGAUGGCGAAGGCGGCAUCCUGGACCGACAUUGACGCUGAAAACCGAAAGCUAGGGGAGCAAACGGG
rnacentral:rRNA from 1 species